GAUGAAGAACUAGCGAAAUGCGAUAAGUAAUGUGAAUUGCAGAAUUCAGUGAAUCAUCGAAUCUUUGAACGCACAUUGCGCCCUCUGGUAUUCCGGGGGGCAUGCCUGUUCGAGCGUCAUUAUAACCACUCAAGCUCUCGCUUGGUAUUGGGGUUCGCGGUUUCGCGGCCCCUAAAAUCAGUGGCGGUGCCUGUCGGCUCUACGCGUAGUAAUACUUCUCGCGAUUGAGUUCGAUAGGUCUACUUGCCAGUAACCCCCAAUUUUUACAGGUUGACCUCGGAUCAGGUAGGGAUACCCGCUGAACUUAAGCAUAUCAAUAAGCGGAGGA
rnacentral:misc_RNA from 1 species